rnacentral:lncRNA from 1 species
GCAGCCGGAUUUCCAAAUCGCGGGUUUGAUUUUCGCUGCGUCCUCUCCGCGACGCGCGCAGGGAGCGCGCCCGGCCACCUGCAGCCUCUGGCUGCGGCCAUCUUUCCGCCUGGGGCCACCUGGCCUGCGCCCUUUGUGCCCGGCCCGCUCCGUGACUGUUCUUCUUGCCGCUACUUACAGAACUCAGCCGCCUUAGCGUCUUAGAGAAGAGGACGGCAUGCAUGCGGACCCCGUCCACCACACCUGGAGAGCAGGGAGCCCUUAGUCCCUGGACACUUACCAGGGCCGCCACCCCUGGUCCACGCACGUGAUGACAUCUCACCAGGGGCAGCACACCGCCCGAGUCCGCGACACUGAUAACACCUCCUGCGGGCAGGAGGGCGCCACAGCCACCCCUGGUCCCCUAGAUUGUGUGAGGCUAGCAUUUCUGCCCGCCUCUUGGCGUGGACAGCACGCUGGACCGAGAUGGAACCACAGCUUUCUCUUCCCAAUCCCUGGCCUCACCGUUUUGUUUCAUACCUCACCGUUUGUUUCAAACCUCGUGGUGUUGAAAUGAUUAAAUGAGAUUAAGGGGUGUGUGGUAGUGUUGGGCAAACCACAAGAAAACGGUCUGGGUGGGGUCUGGCCCUAAAAUCUUCCUCCCCCACCUCCCAGGCUUCCUUGCCUUGCUGCUUCCUCUCAGCCUUUAAACAGGUUGGCCUCUCCAAGUCCUAAAAACAAAAUUAUCAAGCCAACCUCCUCCUGAAGUGCUCCCUCCAACUAGCUUCCAAGUGUUUCAUGCGGACCUCAAACAAUGGUCUUCCCUGGCUGCCUCUGCUUCCUCAUUUCUCAACACUUGGCAUUCUGGCUUCUCCUCCCCAACUCUAACCCUUCACCUUGCUCAGGCAAGAGCAACUCAUGACUUUCAUUUUGCCAAACCUUGCAGGCAUUCCUCAGGCCUUAUCUCUCUGGUUCUUUCUGCUACAUUUGACACCUUGGGAUGACUCUCACCUUCUGGAAUCUCUCUACUACCUUGGUUUCAGAAGAGUGAACCCUCUGGAUUAUCACAUGAAGAUGUUUUGAGAAUGGUGAAAAAAGGAAUUUGGACACUGGCUUUAGAGGAAGUGCUGAGUCACCAGGAAAGGCUUGAGCAUGUUUAUGGGUU